rnacentral:ncRNA from 1 species
UCUACACUUUAGGGGUGUUUAUCCAAUUAACUAAAAAGGAUAAACUGAGAUGAUACCCUCAGUACCUGAAGCAGUUCAUACUGCCGUAGGGAAAAGUAACUGAACCUUU